rnacentral:snoRNA from 1 species
AAUCGGCAUGAUAACUAGGCGACGGUCCAUAUCCGCCCCACGAUCGCAGCCCUUUAAGUUGCCGAGAAAUCAACCACCAAUGCGAGGGUCUUACACGUUCUCGGAGGCUUUGACCGAUGAUGUCCAAUGUUUAAUCUUUCGCAACAAAC